AACGAACGCUGGCGGCAGGCUUAACACAUGCAAGUCGAGCGAAGACUUCGGUCUUAGCGGCGGACGGGUGAGUAACGCGUGGGAAUAUGCCCUUUGCUACGGAAUAGUCCUGGGAAACUGGGGGUAAUACCGUAUGUGCCCUUCGGGGGAAAGAUUUAUCGGCAAAGGAUUAGCCCGCGUUGGAUUAGGUAGUUGGUGGGGUAAUGGCCUACCAAGCCGACGAUCCAUAGCUGGUUUGAGAGGAUGAUCAGCCACACUGGGACUGAGACACGGCCCAGACUCCUACGGGAGGCAGCAGUGGGGAAUCUUAGACAAUGGGGGCAACCCUGAUCUAGCCAUGCCGCGUGAGUGAUGAAGGCCUUAGGGUUGUAAAGCUCUUUCAGCUGGGAAGAUAUUGACGGUACCAGCAGAAGAAGCCCCGGCUAACUCCGUGCCAGCAGCCGCGGUAAUACGGAGGGGGCUAGCGUUGUUCGGAAUUACUGGGCGUAAAGCGCACGUAGGCGGACCAGCAAGUUAGGGGUGAAAUCCCGGGGCUCAACCUCGGAACUGCCUUUAAAACUGUUGGUCUGGAGUUCGAGAGAGGUGAGUGGAAUACCGAGUGUAGAGGUGAAAUUCGUAGAUAUUCGGUGGAACACCAGUGGCGAAGGCGGCUCACUGGCUCGAUACUGACGCUGAGGUGCGAAAGCGUGGGGAGCAAACAGG
rnacentral:rRNA from 1 species